CGGGGAUGCCUUGGAACUGCGCUUAUCAUGGAUAGUCCAGUGAUGUUUCACUUUUUGAUAUUGAGAUCGCUUCCAGCAACCUGGAGCUGGAUUCUUCCACGGAAAAAUCAAUGUCCUGACUGGUUAGGCCCAGAACUCGUUUUCGGAACUCACCUGGAAAGUGCCGCAGGAUCGGAGGGAAACGGGCGGUUUAUUUCCACAUUGGCCGAUCACCUGUGGAACAGGCAGCAACUUUUGGAGCGAUCCGUGAAGGGGAAGGCUUGCAACUUACAUCCGAACAGCGGAUCAAACAAGCCAGCAACCCCGUCGAAAGUGUCAUUCAUUAUUGAAAAAAUGGCACAGCCGGUCGAUCUAGAGGGAGAUCUGGAGGCGAAGCGAAAGAUCCCAUCCCGGGUAUCGAAGAAACUCAACGAAACAAUGUCUAAUGCACGCCACAAGACGGUGGACUAACUAACAAGAGGAACAGUUAAGGUUAAGGUAAACUAAAUCAAGAGGAACACAUUUUA